rnacentral:lncRNA from 1 species
ACCAGGCCAAUUUAUGUCACUAUUUCACCCUAAAUGAGUUGGGGCUGAAAGCAUAAGUCCCAGGCCUUAUGUGUGGCUGCACUUAGUGACUUCCUCCCAAAGAGUACAGUGUGGAACGGGAGAAGGGGGCUCAUUCUGCGGUGCAGAAACCCAGCGGAUACCCGUGAUAAAGUCAGCAUCUUUGUAACUCCAGUUGAUAGGACCUCUGAUAGGAUACAUGAUGAAAACGGCACCUCGGCUUUGUGAUCAGACACCCAAAAACCCAUAACCCCUGUCUAAACAUGAGAACAACACGAAACAAAUUCCAGUAUAGCAGUAUCCUCCAAGACACCAAACCAGGACUUCUCAAAACUGUCAGGGUCAUCAAAAUAUUUUCAUCAAAAUAAAAGUCCGAGAAGUGGUCACAGCCAAGAGGAGCCUCAGGAGGCAAGACAAUGACAACGACGUAGAAUGUGAGAUCCUGGAUGGGAUCCUGGAACAGAAAAAGGACAUUAGGUAAACCCAGAAAAUCUAAAUAAACUAUAGACUUUGGUAAAUAAUAGUGUAUCAAGGCCUGGUGCAGUGGCUCAUGUCUAUAAUCCCAGCACUCUGGGAGGCCAAGGCGAGAGGAUUGCUUGAGCCCAGGAAUUCUAGACCAGCCUGGGCAACUCCUAUCUCUACA